rnacentral:lncRNA from 1 species
AAAGCUUAAGCCAUUAGAUGAAGGGCAUGUUUGGUUUGACUUUGAAGAAAUGGCUUUGGGAAAAUGUAAAUACCUUUGUAGUAAAUGAGUUUUUCGAAAUGCUUUAGUAUUCAACAAAUUGUAACAUUAAAGUGCACUGGAAAGUGACUUUGGUGUAAAUACCGUUGGGUAAACCCUACAUUUGCAAAGGGCUUUUAUCCAUAUAUAUAUAAUAUCAAAUCAAAUCAAAUCCUAUGAAGCUUUGCUACCUACCAACCGCUAGCCAACUGUCGGUGGAUAGGCAGCGGCUGCCUAAGGUCACACGACCCAGGCAGUGAUUAUCAGCCUUCGACGACUGCUGGGGAAGAGGAAGAUGAAUGGUCAACCCAAAAAAAAGUCAACGGGUGAACAAUAGAAAUAGACUUACUUUUUCAAAAUGCCAAAAGCUCAAAGCAAGUCUCCAACUAUUUUAGAAUUGUGGAAUGUUGACAUUUGGUCGAUGGGCUUCCAAAAAUGCUUGCCAAACAUCUAAUAUUUUUCCCAAGGGGUUUAGGAGCUUAGAGCCCCUUGGGAAAGCUAAACCAAAUAGGGCAAGAGGCAUAAUUUAUUAUUUAAAUAUUCUAGUCUUUUGCAUAGUACUAAGCAUGGAAAUUUAAUUGGGGAGGCAAAUGAGGCAUUGUGAGAUUUAAACUCGGGACCUACAUUGUGAGAUUUAAACUCGGGACCUACAGCUUUGAUAUCAUAUGAAAUUUUAUAGGACCACUACCAACUAUUCUAAAACGUUAACUUAUUAGAUAAAUACGUUGUUUAUUAUUUAAAUAUUCUAACAUUAAUAGAUGUCAUUAUUAAACACCAGGUAGCUCCCACUUGAGUCACAUCUAUACUCUCUAUAAAUUUUAAAUUAAGAAGCGAAUGUCUUAAGAUAAGCAAAAUAAUUGGCCUUUUGAUUUAUAUCAGUUAAUUUAUAUCAGGUCUUGUCUUUGCAAGUGCUAGAUUAAGAUUAACGUCGUUUUACUGCGAAAAAAGACAAGUGCGUCGAUGUUAAUGAUGUCUACUCUGCCCACCUAACGAUGCUGACCUUCUGGAUUCUUGUGAUUCCGCAAAUUUUACGUAUU